AGAACGAACGCUGGCGGCAGGCUUAACACAUGCAAGUCGAGCGCCCCGCAAGGGGAGCGGCAGACGGGUGAGUAACGCGUGGGAACGUACCCCUCGGUUCGGAAUAACUCAGGGAAACUUGAGCUAAUACCGGAUACGCCCUUACGGGGAAAGAUUUAUUGCCGAAGGAACGGCCCGCGUCCGAUUAGCUAGUUGGUGAGGUAAUGGCUCACCAAGGCGACGAUCGGUAGCUGGUCUGAGAGGAUGACCAGCAUCACUGGGACUGAGACACGGCCCAGACUCCUACGGGAGGCAGCAGUGGGGAAUAUUGGACAAUGGGCGCAAGCCUGAUCCAGCCAUGCCGCGUGGAUGAUGAAGGCCUUAGGGUUGUAAAGUCCUUUUAACGGGAAGAUAAUGACGGUACCGUAGAAGUAAGCCCGGCUAACUUCGUGCCAGCAGCCGC
rnacentral:rRNA from 1 species